rnacentral:rRNA from 1 species
UGCCAGCAGCCGCGGUAAUACGGAGGGUGCAAGCGUUAAUCGGAAUUACUGGGCGUAAAGCGCGCGUAGGCGGUUUGGUUAGUUGGAUGUGAAAGCCCAGGGCUUAACCUUGGAACUGCAUUCAAUACUGCCAGGCUAGAGUACGGUAGAGGGGGGUAGAAUUCCACGUGUAGCGGUGAAAUGCGUAGAGAUGUGGAGGAAUACCAGUGGCGAAGGCGGCUUUCUGGACCGAUACUGACGCUGAGACGCGAAAGCGUGGGGAGCAAACAGGAUUAGAUA